AGAGAGAGACAUGCGGCGCACUAUCAAUAAGCGGAGGAAAAGAAACUAACUAGGAUUCCCUCAGUAACGGCGAGUGAAGCGGGAAGAGCUCAAAUUUGAAAUCUUCAAGGUUCUACCUUGACGAAUUGUAGCUUAAAGAAGUGUUUUCUGUUGAGGUUUUGGUAAAAGUUCUUUGGAAUAGGACAUCAUAGAGGGUGAGAAUCCCGUAUUUGACCAUUACUUUCCAACUUUGUGAUACACUUUCAAAGAGUCGGAUUGUUUGGGAAUGCAGUCCAAAAUGGGUGGUAAAUUUCAUCUAAAGCUAAAUAUUGGCGAGAGACCGAUAGCGAACAAGUACCGUGAGGGAAAGAUGAAAAGAACUUUGAAAAGAGAGUUAAACAGUACGUGAAAUUGUCAAAAGGGAAGCGUUUGACACCAGUGUUGUUUUCUCGAAAAUCAAUUAAAAAAGGCAGGAUUUUGUGUUGUAUUGACUUUAUCAGCUUUCUGCACUCUUUUCUUGUCCUUUUUUAAUGCACUUUUCGUUUAACAAGUCAACAUCAAUUUCCUUUGUUGUAAAAGGGUCAUUGGAAGGUGGCUUUCUUUUCGGAGAAAGUGUUUAUAGCCUUUGGCCUCUGCAAUCGGAGAGAUUGAGGUCUGCAGCGUAGAUCCUUCGGGGUUAGAUACAUUUGUGCUAAGUUAUAGCCUUUCAUAGACAACUUGUUGACUAUGAUCAGUCAUGUAGCUUACUCGCUUAUGCUAUUUUACCUACGCUUAGGAUGUUGAUGUGAUACUGCGAGCA
rnacentral:rRNA from 1 species